GGAAAAGGAAAUGACUGGAGUUGUGUACUGUAUUUGGAUCUGUGUAGUCAAAUACAUUUGCUGAAGAACCCGAAAUCACUGCGUGAGAUCUGCUGGUUCUCAUCGGAAUUUUGGGAGUCAAAUAUAGAGUAGUGGCUGACUAUUUCUACUGCUAUCAAGGAGAUAUUCGCUGGAACAGGUACAUUUCCUCAUCUCUGUUACUUAUUUACUUAUUCAUUUGUUGUAUUUAUGGUGAAUUGGGGUCCAUUUCUCUUUCCUUUCCUAAUUUGGUACUACUAUAUUCCUUAGUUUAAUUAAUUCCCCUGAUGUACUUAUUGGUGCUUGGUUCGUUUAUUACGUGAUGGCAAUUGAUGAAUGUCCAGUUAUAAGCCAUUUGUUUGUUUCAGCCUUAAAGUGUGUUUGUUGGAUUGUGGAAAAAUGGAGUAAAUUAAGAAUUCAGCAUGUUAUUGUCACUCAAUUUCCUUUUAUUUACGUUGUAAUUAUCCUACUGUUUCGAUUGUUCGGAGUAUGCCUAAGCAGUUAAUAUUGAUGAGCAUUUGUAGUUUGCUUUAGGCAUGCAAUAUGAUCAUCGCAAUUACGGGUACAGUUCCUGUGGCGUAGUUGUGGUACCUAAUUAGUUUUAAACAUGAAUAUCCGUAGUUCAUUUAAUUGAAAUGUUUUUCCUUUAAUAAUUUGAGGUGUGCCAUUUUCAUUAAAUAACUCAUGGCCCUCAUUUAGUUAAUUUUAACUCUUUAGAAAUCGAGGUGUACCAUUAGUUGAAUUUCCAUGGCCCUCGCAAAUUUGAAAGUGUGUAGUUGUUUUAGGCGCGCUAUUUAAAUUAAUUUCCUUAAACUCGGGUGUGCAUUUCAUGUGACCCAAAUUCAAAUCUUAACAACGUUAAAUAGAACGUGUCGCGAACCGCGGGUGCAUUUCAUAUGACGUAGUUCAAUGCAUGUUUUAAAUAACGUUGAAUCUUCCUAAAAAUAAUUAAGAGCGGUUUAAUAAGUUAAAAGGCACAUAGGCUAAAACAUGUACUAAAAUUAGAUAAUAGGCCAAUUGUAACAGUUGAGCAACCGUGUUAGAACCACGGAACUCGGGAAUGCCUAACACCUUCUCCCGGGUUAACAGAAUUCCUUACCCGGAUUUCUGUGUUCGCGGACUGUAAAACAGAGUCAAUCUUUCCUCAAUUCGGGAUUUGAACCGGUGACUUGGGACACCAUAAAUUAUCCCAAGUGGUGACUCUGAAUUUUUAGUAAAAUAAUCCCGUUUCGAUUGUCACUUAAAUUGGAAAAAACUCCCUUUAUAUCCCCUCGGGGUGAAAAAAGAGGUGUGACAGCUCUGGCGACUCUGCUGGGGAAAAGAACCCAGAACUUUUGGUUUAGGGUUCAGAAUUCGAGCUUAGAAUAGCUGUUAUGAUUGGCUUUUAUUUGUUAUCUGAUUUUUACAUAUUUUGAGUCUAAUGUGCUAAUGCCGCUUUUUAUCACUUUGAUUUUGCUUGAACUGUAUAUAAAUUGUUACGAAACCCUUCUUCUCUCUGAGUCUUCUAAAUCAUCUGGGAAGUGUGCACUUCGUGUGACUUCUUUUCUGUUAGAGUCAUAUCCCAAUUUUAGAACGAGGUUCAGACAAGUUGCAAAACCGGUGAAGCUUCUGUAUUCCUGGUACGCUACCCCCCUCCCCCGGCUCGAGCUGUCCGCUCGGGUAAGCCAGGUCUAGAACAAUACACCCAGGGUUUUAAACCUAGUAUAACACAGCCUCAUGUCGUAUCCCUAGUAGGAACGCUUGCUUGCAUCACGUGCAUUUGACUUUGGGGACCCAACACAGGGGUUAGGUCCGUCUAGGACAGGUGUACCCAAAUUAAAAAAAAAAUCAUCCUGAUGCAUCUUACGUGCUACUCGCGCAUCUAUUUGUUUCAGAUUGCAUGUUGACCGGCUUCUAAAAUAGGGAAAGAAAAUUGAAAAAAAAAAGAAAAUUGAAAAAAAAAAAUUGAAAAAAGAGGAGAAAGAAGAAAAAAGGAAACAAAAAGUGAGAGGUAGGUAUUUAGAAAAUUCUGAAAAUCUGCCAAAAUUCUGAAGAAAAAAAAAGUCAUUUCAAAACGAGCCAAAAUUUUCAAGUGUCAUGUUUUUCUGUUCCGUCAAAACUGGCAGAACUACGCGGGUCUGAUUCUCACCGGAUGUGAGAUACGUAGGCAAACCUCAUCAGUUCCGGCCUCCAAUUUCCAAAAAUCCAAAAAAAAAUCUUUUACUUCCUUCUUUAGAAAAGUUUUUCUUUGAGACUCCAACUUUUAAAAAUACAAAAAAUAUUUUCUUUUAGUUGCUUCUCAAAAUAAAAAAAUACAAAAAUAUUUUCAUUCUUCUUUCGAAAAUUGAAAAGAAAAUUCAAGAUUCAAAAAUACUUUCUCUUUCUUUAGAAGUACUUCUUUCCUAACUUCAGAAUAAAAAUCCAUAAAUGCAAAAAUAUUUUUCUUUCUUCUUUAGAAGUUUUUCAAUCGAAAUUCCAGAAAAAAACAAUAAAAGUCGAAAUUCAAAAAAAAGGAAAAAAGAUCUUUCUUCUUUAGAAGUCUUUCUUUGCAAAAAUGCUGAACAAAAAUCAAAAUCCAAAAAAUAUAUUCUUUCUUCUUUAUAUGUCUUUCUUUCGAAAAGUUCAAAAUCCAAAAAAAAGGUUGGUUUAUUUACUUUAUUCCUGAUCUUCCCGAACUACGCAAGAUCUGAUUCAUGUUCCCACAUGAUACGUAGGCAACCCAAAUCAGGUUCGAUCACCAUUAAAAAAAGAAAUGAAAAAAAUGAAGAAAUGAAAAGAUAUUGAUAAUAAUAAGGACCGACUGAGUCCAUUCUAACAUGUUUUGUUCUGAAUUGUGAAGAAAGUUGAGGUGGUCGGUUUGUGGUAAGCUGGAAACACAAGAUCCAAGGAAAAAUGAUAACUGACAUCGAAGUUGUUACAAGUGCUCAAGAGACUCAGGUUCAGAGGGUUUAACAAGAGUCUACUAUGUUUGAGAAAAAUAGAAUACUGAAACAACAAAUGACCGAAAUGUGUCAAGCAUGGGCCAGUGGUCAAGGACAGCCUCGUCAUGAGUCACAAUUUGCUACACAGCAAGAGCAGUACCACUCGUACUCCUUUGAUCUUCCUGUAAACAUUGAGAAGCCUGCCCAAAAGAUGGUACAGGAAGAAAUGACCCAAAGAGUGAAAAGCUUAGAACAAUGGUUGAAAAACAUGCAAGGGUUGGCAGGUCAAAAGAGUGUUGCCUUCAAAGAUCUAUGUAUGUUCCCCGAUAGCCCACCUGAAAAGUUAUUGCAAUCAAUAAGAGGUGCAGGAAGAAAUGAAGAAUUGUUAAUAGCUUAUUUUGGGGAAAGCCUUACGGGAGUAGCAUUCGAAUGGUUUUUGGAUCAAGACACAUCUCGUUGGUACGUCUGGAAUGAUAUGGCACAGGCCUUUGUCAAUCAGUUCCAAUACAACAUCGACAUUGCCCCAGACCGCAUUUCCCUUUCAAACCUGAAGAAGAAACCAAGUGAAAGUUUCACGGAAUAUGCCAUUAAAUGGAAAGAGCAAGCAGCUCGAGUUAAGCCACCCAUGGAUGAUCACGAGCUAAUCAUUGUCUUACUUCAAGCGCAAGAGCCAGAUUACUUUCAAAACAUGAUGUCCGCAGUUGGCAAAUCCUUCUCGGAAGCAAUCAAAAUGGGAGAAAUGGUAUAGAAUGGUCUUAAGACAGGCAAAAUUAUAAGUCAAGGAGUUUUUAAAGCCGUGACUCAGGUUGUCCGGGUUGAGUCUGAUAAUUUUAGUGACACAAAUGAGAAGGUUGAAGAAAUCAUGAUGACAUCAGGGUCGAGAAGAGGUCCCAGAAGAACAUCUCGAAGGUAUGAGCAACCUCCUCAAGUUUUCCAUGACUCCCCUGAGCAGUAUUAUCCACCUCAGAACCCUCAAUACUCUGUCGCUCCACCUCAGUAUGUUGUCCAGCCACCAAAACACCCCAGAAGGUGAGCAUGAGCAUCACGAAAUCUCCAACAGCCUCCACAAAAUUUUCAGGUGCCCUAUAACCCACAUCCAAGCCAGAGGUAUAAAGGGGAACAAAGGUUGAAAGAUAAUUUUACACCAAUAGGAGAGUCCUAUGCAAGCUUAUUUGAGAAGUUAAAGCAUUAUGACAUGAUUACACCUAUUCCUCCAAAUCAUGUGGACCCACAUGCGAGAAGCUUUGACCCUUCUAAAAGAUGUGAAUACCAUUCCAAUGCCCAAGGGCACAAUGUUGAAAACUGUCGGGAUUUGAAAAGAGAAAUAGAAAGGAUGAUCUAGGAAAACUUGAUUGUGAUCCAAGACAGUGACACCCAGAAUAUCGCGCAGAAUCCUUUACCUUUACAUGAUGAUGCACACUUUGUGGGGAUGAUACGUGGUGACAGGUAGUAUGAGAAUCCUCUCGGGAAUUUGCUAACUGAAGUUAAUGAUUUUGAAAUUGGAGAAGGCUCUGUUGAUCCUGAUGAGAAAAUUUGUGUCUAAAUGUCAAGCUUAGCAAUUGAAAAGUCAUUCCCUCCUCACUAGGAAGGAAUCUUGGUAGUUUGUUUUGAUGUUUUUUCUCUUAUCUAGGUUAUUUCAGGGUUGUGAUCCAGAUUUUAUUUAUUUUAUUGAGUCAAACCUUUCUAUCCCUUUAUUCUGUUUGUGUAAGUCUUGUCUUUCUGUUCUGUUGCUAUUUUCAUUAGCCGGGUUAUUGAGGGUUGUAACUCGAAUUUUAGGUUGUUUGUCUUGUUGUUUACUUAAUGAAAUACAGAUUGUCCUUUUGUGUCGCUCCAUGAUUAGUUCUUUUCCCGUUAGUCUUAAUGACAUGACAUGCAUGCGGAAUUUUCGGCCAGAUCUUUGAAAAUUGAUUUAAUCUUGAAUUGGACAACUGAGAAAAAAACACUUUUUGAUGAUGAAAAGGAGUUGAAAUACCUUAAAAAUAAGCCCGAGUAAAAUUCAAGUGGAACUAAAAUAGUCAGACUCGUGGAGGUUAAGAAUCUUUACCUUCAAAAUCAUUGUGAAGUUCGGGUUGAGGAAGAAUCAAUUGAAGCAUGUUGGAAAGUUUGACAUUAAGGGAUGGAAAGUGUCUUGUGACCACGACACACCAAGAAGACAGACAUAUUCGUCAAUGCUGUGAUCGAGAAAAGAUAAUAUGUUUGGCGUUCUCGAGGCUGGGAGGCCCUUUUUCUGCUACCCAAACACUUUAUACCAUUUGUUACCCCAUUUGAGCAUGUGUUAUUUUCUUUGACUACUCUCUUUUGGAAUCAAGUUUAGAGUCAAAAAAAAAUUCAUGUCUCAAGAGUAUAAUCUGGGGCAAUUCUUAGAAAGUUCAGAAAAAGAAAAGAUUUGUCAAAGGUCCAUGCCCUAAAAAUAGGAGCUGGGGCAACUUGUUUUGAAAACAAAAGAAAAAGAAAGAAAAGAAAAGAAAAAACAACAGAAAGAAAAAUGAAAAAAAAUUAGUUAGUUCAGAUGUUUGAACUACGUUCGACCUGAUUCCUUAAAAAAGGAUAUGUAACCAGCCUCACGGUUCGGUCCAACUAAAUAAAAGUUUAGAAGAAAAAGAAAAAAAAUAGAAAAAUCCAAAAACCCUCAGUAUCUGAAACUGGGGCAAAGAUUUUAUUUCAUUUUUAAAAGAGUUGAUUCCAAAAGUUUUAAGUAUACAACCACGUCAUCUUUAGUUUGUUUUUAGCCUCAUGUCGGUCUUUUGUCCAACCCUAUCCAAAAACCUUCCAAAUAAAUACCUCCCGAUAUGCCUUCAAGAAUGCCAAGAGAAGCAUGCAAUGAGCAACGGUUGUCACACGACAUAUAACACUAUCAAGUUACUCACAAAAAGUAAGAAAAAGAAAAAUGAGAGAGUCUUACUAGUGAAAACUCUUACGGGCACAGUAAGGCGAUGGUAAGUAGAGAUGAAUAAAUGAGAGAGACUUGUUGGUGAAAAUCCCUCGGGGCACCACUAGUCGAAAGUGAGUUGUGAAGCUGAUGCGAAGAAUUGACGCAAACAAGACCAACUUCAAAGGUCAUAAAAUGGUAAAAAAGAAGAUUGGAUUAGUUUGGUAGAUCGGUCUUUAAGUCCAAAAUGCAUGUCAUGGUCAUUAACGCUAGUUAUUGGAAAAAAAAAAAGAAAAACAAAACUCUUCCACUGUCCUUCCCGAGAGGGGCAUUUCUUGUUAAUAUUGUUUCUUGGCAUCAUUAUGUCCUUCACUUUGAGUCAGUCCUUCUCAAAACAAGCAAGAAAAGAUUUCAAAAUCUGCUACCAGCUUUUCAGUUGCAUAAAGUAAAUUUGGCCAACACACUCAGUUGUUACUACCAACAUGCUUUGAGGAUUCAUGCAAAGGCUUCCCCAAAAAGACUCUUCUCAGCCUACUUAGCGCAAGAAAGAUAACUGGUGAUUCUCUUUGACAGACAAAUUGCUCAAAAAUCAGAAAGUCAUUCAAGAUAUCGGAAAGGGUCACCUAGGCAAAGAUCUCCAGUUGAGAUAAGGCUAAUUGAGCCGCAAAUACAAAUGAUAUUAGGUGUGAAACAAUUAGGGUUGAUGCAAAGAAAAAGUCUCUUGAAGCCGACUCAAGCUUAUUGAGCAGAAGCCAAGCUGCCCAAGACUCAAGGCCACAAACCGACCACCAUUUUCAAAAUUGACAAAUUUUUCUUUGUAUGAAACAGGAACAAAGCGGUGCAAGGAAAGUGAUUCAAAAAAAAUGAUGAAAAAAAAAGAAGAAAAAGAAAAGACGAGGAGAGUCUAAAAAAGGGAAGUUUCUCAAAUCUUUUCCUUUAUUUGUCUUGCUGUUGUGCAUAAAAUCUUGUCAUUGAUCUUCACAUUUUUCCUCCUAGGAUAAAAAGUCUCAGUCUGACGGAUUUUCCUCCCAAUAUAAAUCUUAGUCUGAUGAAUCUUUCUCCUAAGAUAACAAAAAAGGGAACCUAGUCCGAUGAACUUUCUCCUAGGAUAAACAUCUUAGUCUGAUGAAUCUUUCUCCUAAGAUAGAAGACCCAUCUUAGUCUGAUGAAUCUUUCUCCUAAGAUAGAAAACCUAGUCUGAUGAACUUUCUCCUAGGAUAAAAAUCUUAGUCUGAUGAAUCUUUUUCCUAAGAUACCAAAAAGAGAUCUAGUCUGAUGAACUUUCUCCUAGGAUCAAAAUCUUAGUCUGAUAAAUCUUUCUCCUAAGAUAGAAUACCUAGUCUGAUGAACUUUCUCCUAGGAUAGAAAUCUUAGUCUGAUGAACCUUUCUCCUAAGAUACCAAAAAAGAAGUAGAAAAGAGACCUAGUCUGAUGAACUUUCUCCUAGAAUCAAAAUCUUGGUCCGAUGAAUCUUUCUCCUAAGAUAUAAAACCUAAUCCGAUGAAUUUUCUCCUAGGAUAAUAAUUUUAAAAAAAAGUCUGGAUUUGAAAAAAGGGGAGUCAUUUUGUUUUUAAGAUUAUCAAUGUUUAGUUUUCCUGAAAUCAGGGGGACCCCAUCUGGAGAAUAGGGUCAGUUUUUACUUUAGUCAAGCUUAGUUUAUAGUUUUCCGCAAGCUCAAUCACGUUUAGGAGACGCACAUCCUAGUCGAGUCAUUAAUUUUACUCUCAUCAUUGCAUCAUUCAUCAAUAGCGCAGGUGAUUUAUAGUUUUGUCAACACUCACAGAUGUUCCCAAAAUCAAACUAGGGCAGGAAAAUUUCUUUUGUUUUGUCUAUUUUGUUGUAAUCAGGCGUCCACCUGGAGAACAAAGAAAGACAGUUCAAGUUUCAAGGAAAAGCAGUUUCAAAAGAAAGCAGUUUAAGUUUCAAGGGAAAUCAGUUUCAAAGGAAAGCAGUUCAAGUACAGCAAUCAGGCGCCCACUUGGAGAACAAGGGAAAACGGUUCAAGUUUCGAAAGAAGACAGGUCAAGUUCAGCAAUCAGGCGCCCACCUGGAGAACAAGGGAAAUCAUUUCAGAAGCCGAUUCAAGUUAGAAGUAGCAGAAGCUCGCCUAAAAAAUGCGGGUCGAUAGGGGUCUGAGAUAACAAAAAAGAAGCCUCAAAAUAAAAGAAAAAAAGUGAAUCUAAAGUGCAGAAGCGGAUAAAAGAUGUGGACUGCUCAAGACAUAAUUGAAGUCAAAAGCUCUGCAUGUCCUGUCUUGAUCUUAAAAAUCUGAAGAAGAUUGAACCAACACCUACAGCUAACAAACAUCAAGAUUUAGAUCAGAGUCCGUAUGAAGAACCAACCAAGACUCAUAGAUAGGAAUCUUGUAACUCGUAGCUGAUAGGCUUAAUUAGUUUUUUUCAUUUUUCAUUUUUGAUGUAAUAACGAGAUCACGGACCGAAACCUCAGCGGAACGGCACCUUGACUGGCUCUCCACCUCGGCAUACUCCAUCAUCUCACUCACUUCUGAACUACACCUAACCUGAUUCCUUUAUAGCCAAGGAUAUGUAGGCAGCUCAGAUACUAGGGCUCGGUCACAUUCCCCUUUUCUCUUAGCUUUAGACUCUCCAAAUAAGGGUCGGGUCAAAAAACCUGUCUAGUCGUUCUUUGUCUGAAAACUCUUCGCGUUUCCAGUCAAAGAGGGGCAGCUGUAGACAUGUGAUUUUUGACCCUCCCCAAGAUUUUUUAUAUUUUAGCAUAUAAAUAUUUAAUUUAGGCCUAAUAGCGUUAUUUUAACUAAUUUUGACUCUUUCACUUUAUUUUAUUACAAGAAAAUGAAAAUUAUAAAAAAAUAGUUUCAUUAAUGUUUUGCAGUCAUUUUUAAUCUCUAAAAAUACCAAAAAAUAGUUUUGUUUUAACGGUCAGUCUUUAUUUUAAUAAUUAUUUUUACUUAAGUAGGGCUAAUUAAUAUUUUUGAUAAUAUUGCUAUAUGGAUAGACUUUUAGUUAAUUAAGUUAAUUUUAAACAUAGCUAGUCAUAAAGGCCCAAGUUCUAGCCCAUUCCUUAAGCUCAAUAUCCAAUACCCAUUAAGCUAAUCCUAUGAACCCUUCUAGAGUCUUCUUUGGAACAAAAAAUAAAUAAAAAGACCCUAAGGACUUAACACAAAAAUACCUAGGGACUAAUUGGCAAAAUACACAAAAAAUACACAUUAAACCAAGACCUAUAUUAGGUAACGCCUAAUACACUAAAAAGGGGAGAUGAGAGAAUCAUCGCAGCUUUUUGAAAAAGAGACCCUCCCGUUCGUCUUCUUCUUCACAAAUCAACAACCAGAGAGACCCCCCCCCCCCCCCGCGCGUCAUGUCUUCAUCUUCUUCAACCCUUACACACCCUAAUCCCCCUUGUCUCUUCGUCUCCACCCCAAAACCAGUCAAAGCAGCCAUUAAAUUAACCCCAAACAGUCACCAAAAAUCGGUAAAUGGUUGUUUCCUUCAGCUGAAUUUAAAAAGGAAUUCAAAAAGGUCGAGUCCAAAGUCUAUUGUGUCGUCGGGGUUCGAGUUUAUGCUCGUCGAUGUUUAGGACUUGUUGAAGUCUUAUUACUGUUGAAGUUGUCGAAUCUGUUGGGUUAUCUGGUUCAGAGUUGUGGAUUUGUGAUCUAGUUGUUAUUGCUGUUGAUCUUCCUUACAAAUAGAAGUCGGAGCUGUUUGCGGUUGUUUCUCCUGCAAUUAGUAGCUGAACACCCAUUUGAAGUUAUUUUCGGCCUUUAUUUGGCUAUUUUAAAGUCUUACUACUGCUGUUCAUAAAAUUUCAUAUAUAAAAAGCUAUUUUGGAGCGGUGGAAUUGCCGCUCGUUGUCCGUUUAUUUGCGUUGUCAUUACACAAUUUCUUGUUGUUGUUCUAUUGCUAUGGAGCUUCAUUUGUUUUUAAUUCCAUAUUUUA
rnacentral:lncRNA from 1 species